GGUAAAAUGGCUGAUGAUAGGCGAUAAAUUGUAAAUUUAUUUAUGAAUGUUUAAUUCUUUUACCA
rnacentral:tRNA from 1 species